AAAUUGAAGAGUUUGAUCAUGGCUCAGAUUGAACGCUGGCGGCAGGCCUAACACAUGCAAGUCGAACGGUAACAGGAAGCAGCUUGCUGCUUCGCUGACGAGUGGCGGACGGGUGAGUAAUGUCUGGGAAACUGCCUGAUGGAGGGGGAUAACUACUGGAAACGGUAGCUAAUACCGCAUAAUGUCGCAGGACCAAAGAGGGGGACCUUCGGGCCUCUUGCCAUCAGAUGUGCCCAGAUGGGAUUAGCUUGUUGGUGAGGUAACGGCUCACCAAGGCGACGAUCCCUAGCUGGUCUGAGAGGAUGACCAGCCACACUGGAACUGAGACACGGUCCAGACUCCUACGGGAGGCAGCAGUGGGGAAUAUUGCACAAUGGGCGCAAGCCUGAUGCAGCCAUGCCGCGUGUAUGAAGAAGGCCUUCGGGUUGUAAAG
rnacentral:rRNA from 3 species